GGGGCUGACUGGAAUUGACAGCUUGUGCAGGUCGCGAGUAAGCGUGUCAGGAGUUGAAUGGAUCUCCUGUUAAAAAGUCAUUCAAACAGUAAAUGGCGAGUAUAGCUACGCCAUGGCUGCUUAGUCUAGGUACUAAGUAAUGCCAUCGUUCCGCAUCCGUCUUCCUUUUCACGGGUGAGCACGGGACGUCGUAAGUAAAGGGAUAGUUUGGGCAGAGGUGUGAUGCUCAGGCGAAAACAACUGCAUCUAAGGGAAAUUCAAAGGCCUGAUGUGCGCCCGGAUUUCCCCGACAAUUCAAGCAUAGAUACACACGUAGAAAGCUCGUCGGUUUCCUUGUCUGGACCAGGGUUCGAAUCCCUGCAGCUCCACAU
rfam:Hymenobacter roseosalivarius DSM 11622 genome assembly, contig: Hros_Contig00053